CGCCGCGGUAAUACCCGCGGCCCGAGUGGUGGUCGAUAUUAUUGAGCCUAAAACGUCCGUAGCCGGUUUUGUAAAUCCUUGGGUAAAUCGACCAGCUUAACUGUUCGAAGUCCGGGGAGACUGCAAGACUUGGGAUCGGGAGAGGUGAGAGGUACUUCUGGGGUAGGGGUAAAAUCCUGUAAUCCUAGAAGGACCACCGGUGGCGAAGGCGUCUCACUAGAACGAAUCCGACGGUGAGGGACGAAGCCCUGGGGCGCAAACGGGAUUAGAUACCCCGGUAGUCCAGGGUGUAAACGCUGCGGGCUUGGUGUUGGGGGUCCUUUGAGGGCGCCCAGUGCCGGAGAGAAGUUGUUAAGCCUGCUGCUUGGGGAGUACGUCCGCAAGGAUGAAACUUAAAGGAAUUGGCGGGGGAGCACCGCAACGGGAGGAGCGUGCGGUUCAAUUGGAUUCAACACCGGACAACUCACCAGGAGCGACGGUUACAUGAAGGCCAGGCUGAUGACCUUGCCUGAUUUUCC
rnacentral:rRNA from 1 species